rnacentral:rRNA from 1 species
GACGGAGGGGGCUAGCGUUGUUCGGAAUGACUGGGCGUAAAGGGCGUGUAGGCGGUUGAUCAAGUCAGGCGUGAAAGCCCCGGGCUUAACCCGGGAACUGCGCUUGAUACUGGUUGACUUGAGGACGAGAGAGGAAAGCGGAAUUCCGAGUGUAGAGGUGAAAUUCGUAGAUAUUCGGAGGAACAUCAGAGGCGAAGGCGGCUUUCUGGCUCGUAUCUGACGCUGAGGCGCGAAAGCGUGGGGAGCAAACAGG